GCAAGUCGAGCGGACAGAAGGGAGCUUGCUCCCGGAUGUUAGCGGCGGACGGGUGAGUAACACGUGGGUAACCUGCCUGUAAGACUGGGAUAACUCCGGGAAACCGGAGCUAAUACCGGAUAGUUCCUUGAACCGCAUGGUUCAAGGAUGAAAGACGGUUUCGGCUGUCACUUACAGAUGGACCCGCGGCGCAUUAGCUAGUUGGUGAGGUAACGGCUCACCAAGGCGACGAUGCGUAGCCGACCUGAGAGGGUGAUCGGCCACACUGGGACUGAGACACGGCCCAGACUCCUACCGGGAGGCAGCCAGUAGGGAAUCUUCCGCAAUGGACGAAAGUUCUGACCGGAGCAACCGCCGCGUGAGUGAUGAAGGUUUUCGGAUCGUAAAGCUCUGUUGUUAGGGAAGAACAAGUGCCAAGAGUAACUGCUUGCACCUUGACGGUACCUAACCCAGAAAGCCAACGGCUAACUACGUGCCAGCAGCCCGCGGUAAUACGUAGGUGGCAAGCGUUGUCCGGAACUUAUUGGGCGUAAAAGGGCUCGCAGGCGGUUUCUUAAGUCUGAUGUGAAAGCCCCCGGCUCAACCGGGGAGGGUCAUUGGAAACUGGGAAACUUGAGUGCAGAAGAGGAGAGUGGAAUUCCCACGUGUAGCGGUGAAAUGCGUAGAGAUGUGGAGGAACACCAGUGGCGAAGGCGACUCUCUGGUCUGUAACUGACGCUGAGGAGCGAAAGCGUGGGGAGCGAACAGGAUUAGAUACCCUGGUAGUCCACGCCGUAAACGAUGAGUGCUAAGUGUUAGGGGGUUUCCGCCCCUUAGUGCUGCAGCUAACGCAUUAAGCACUCCGCCUGGGGAGUACGGUCGCAAGACUGAAACUCAAAGGAAUUGACGGGGGCCCGCACAAGCGGUGGAGCAUGUGGUUUAAUUCGAAGCAACGCGAAGAACCUUACCAGGUCUUGACAUCCUCUGACAACCCUAGAGAUAGGGCUUUCCCUUCGGGGACAGAGUGACAGGUGGUGCAUGGUUGUCGUCAGCUCGUGUCGUGAGAUGUUGGGUUAAGUCCCGCAACGAGCGCAACCCUUGAUCUUAGUUGCCAGCAUUCAGUUGGGCACUCUAAGGUGACUGCCGGUGACAAACCGGAGGAAGGUGGGGAUGACGUCAAAUCAUCACGCCCCUUAUGACCUGGGCUACACACGUGCUACAAUGGACAGAACAAAGGGCUGCGAGACCGCAAGGUUUAGCCAAUCCCACAAAUCUGUUCUCAGUUCGGAUCGCAGUCUGCAACUCGACUGCGUGAAGCUGGAAUCGCUAGUAAUCGCGGAUCAGCAUGCCGCGGUGAAUACGUUCCCGGGCCUUGUACACACCGCCCGUCACACCACGAGAGUCUGCAACACCCGAAGUC
rnacentral:rRNA from 1 species